rnacentral:rRNA from 1 species
GAUGAACGCUGGCGGCGUGCCUAAUACAUGCAAGUCGAGCGAACAGACGAGGAGCUUGCUCCUCUGACGUUAGCGGCGGACGGGUGAGUAACACGUGGAUAACCUACCUAUAAGACUGGGAUAACUUCGGGAAACCGGAGCUAAUACCGGAUAAUAUAUUGAACCGCAUGGUUCAAUAGUGAAAGGCGGUUUUGCUGUCACUUAUAGAUGGAUCCGCGCCGCAUUAGCUAGUUGGUAAGGUAACGGCUUACCAAGGCGACGAUGCGUAGCCGACCUGAGAGGGUGAUCGGCCACACUAGAACUGAGACACGGUCCAGACUCCUACGGGAGGCAGCAGUAGGGAAUCUUCCGCAAUGGGCGAAAGCCUGACGGAGCAACGCCGCGUGAGUGAUGAAGGUCUUCGGAUCGUAAAACUCUGUUAUUAGGGAAGAACAAAUGUGUAAGUAACUAUGCACGUCUUGACGGUACCUAAUCAGAAAGCCACGGCUAACUACGUG